UAAGGAAUAUUGCUCAAUGGGAGAAAUCCUGAAGCAGCAACGCCGCGUGGAGGAUGAAGGGUCUAUGACUUGUAAACUCCUGUAAAGAAGGAAAAAAUUCCCAUUAGAUGGGAGAUGAUGGUACUUCUGGAGUAAGCCCCGGCUAACUACGUGCCAGCAGCCGCGGUAAUACGUAGGGGGCAAGCGUUGUCCGGAUUUACUGGGUGUAAAGGGUGCUCAGGCGGAUUUGUAAGCCAGAGGUGAAAUCUUACAGCUUAACUGUGAAACUGCCAUUGAUACUGCAAGCCUAGAGUAUGGAAGAGAGUGAUGGAAUAUCUGGUGUAGCAGUGAAAUGCGUAGAUAUCAGAUAGAACACCAAUGGCGAAGGCAGUCACUUGGUCCAUUACUGACGCUAAAGCACGAAAGCGUGGGUAGCAAACA
rnacentral:rRNA from 1 species